AGUAUUGACUCCUUUUUAAAAUUUGUCAGACCCCUAAUGUAAGUUCAAGAAUGGUUUCCAAGCAUCUGUGUUAGUAUUGCGCAAUGCGGACUUAUAACCAGUUGCCACAGGAUUUCUGGAAUUCAGAAUGUCAAAAAGAUGGUCAAACAUUUGGAUAAAUUUUACUGUGGCUUCACUGCCUUGAAAUUGUUCCAAAUUUAAAACUGUGGUACAAUAUUUGAUUGCAACUGCAACACUGUUGCUCAGGGUUUGAGCAGCAAGAUUUACCUUCAUCUUCUUAUUGUACCAUUGGAUGUGAUCUUUUCUUAGUUAAUUAGCUAGUCGCAUUCCUUCUCUGGCUUGAAAUUUUUGUAAUUAUGUAAUAUAAUGCCAUAAUAUUUUUUUAUUGUUUCUGUCAUAUAAAACGCCCCAUUCGGCAAGGGUAUUGCGGACCAGAUUGAGCAUGUGACAAACAUCAAGAAAAACGAAAAUUUGAUGACCGGGACGAGCUGGGUUGGGAAAAUGUGGCUAAAGAUUGGUUGGAUUUAAAGAUGCGCCAAGAAAUCUAAGCAUUGUAAAGUAACAGGAAGGUCCAUCACAAACAAACCGCAAUAAACACCAGAGCUUCUUUAGCAACUGGAGCAGAGUCAUCUUGUUCAGCAUCACCUCCCAAAUCAACAUACCCUUCAUAUUUUGUUCCAUUCCCAGGAAACAUGCCUUUUUAUCCAGCAUCAUUGCACAAACUGCGGGUUCAUUUGAGGAUUGUACAUUUGAAUAAAUGGAUGAAAAAGCCAACUCUGUAAAUCCUGGUUCAGCAGGAAGUUUUGUUUACCACUUUAAAAGAGAGAUUAAAAGAUUUUCUGACAAAUUUAAAGCUUUGGUUGAAUAAAAUUGUAGGGUUUGUAAUGAUCUAUAUAUUCGUUCUACUGUUAGUCUAUUUACUUAAUUAUUUUUAGCCCGUUUUGUUAACCACAGCCAGUUUUAUUUUAUUUCAAUGCCGAGAUACAGCGCGCGUGGUGAUUACCAUCGGCGCAUUCUUUCGUUUAUUUUCGUCUUAAAUUCCUGUGUUUUUCGUUUAUUGAUUGAUUGGUUGUUUUAUUGCGUAAGGGCCGUUUCGUUUGCCACUUUUUUUUGGUCGGAAUAAAGCAGUUGUUGGUUGGAUCGCUAA